CUUUACUGUCUCUAACUUACCAGGUGGUGGAAGUUCUUGUUUGGUCUGUGCUAUAAGUACUAUAUGUCUAUGAUAUGCGCUGCACGAAUUUUCCUAAUCAUAGUUAUGGAGUUUGAUAACUCGUGCUUUGUACUUUUCCAAUCAUCCCUAUGAAUUUCAUGGUAUUCCUUGUGUUGAUUUGUGCCUCUACUAUCCUGGUCUUUUGCUUUCCCUCUGGAAAGAACUCAAUUGAUGAAAGCAGCUAUGUGGCUGAAACACACCUCAUUAGGCCUGGGAAAGGCUCAGAAUCGUCUCAGGAACCACAAGACUCACAAGAAAGUUCUGUGGACUGUGGUGACAGUGAGUUUGAUUGUGCUGAGAUGAUACUCCAUGGCAUCUUAGAUUCUUAUAUCCUUAUACCCAGAAGAAGAGGACAUUAA